rnacentral:rRNA from 1 species
AGUGAACGCUGGCGGUAGGCCUAACACAUGCAAGUCGAACGGCAGCACAGGAGAGCUUGCUCUCUGGGUGGCGAGUGGCGGACGGGUGAGGAAUACAUCGGAAUCCACUCUGUCGUGGGGGAUAACGUAGGGAAACUUACGCUAAUACCGCAUACGACCUACGGGUGAAAGCAGGGGACCUUCGGGCCUUGCGCGAUUGAAUGAGCCGAUGUCGGAUUAGCUAGUUGGCGGGGUAAAGGCCCACCAAGGCGACGAUCCGGAGCUGGUCUGAGGGGAUGAUCAGCCACACUGGAACUGAGACACGGUCCAGACUCCUACGGGAGGCAGCAGUGGGGAAUAUUGGACAAUGGUCGCAAGCCUGAUCCAGCCAUACCGCGUGGGUGAAGAAGGCCUUCGGGUUGUAAAGCCCUUUUGUUGGGAAAGAAAUCCAGCUGGCUAAUACCCGGUUGGGAUGACGGUACCCAAAGAAUAAGCACCGGCUAACUUCGUGCCAGCCGCCGCCGUAA